UUGUUCUCAGCCCUGCGCCUACCUUGGCUUACCCUUGCUUUGCUCCAGGUAACCUGGAUUCUGAUGUUCAGCUCCAAUUCCAGACUUCUGACUUUGGCUCUGAUCCUGGCCCUGGGCUCUGAUUCCUGAUCCUUGGCUUUGACCUUUGGCUCUGGCACUGAUUCCUGACUCCUGCAGUAGCCAGCUUCCUCCUGCCAUACUCCCACAGAGAAGUACAGUGUUGAUAUCAAUUGGAGUUUUGCCGAAUGGACUGAAGAACUGGGCCUAUAUACAUGGAUUGGGAAAAUAGAACUUGGAAAUCCAGAUCCGUCAUGUGGAUCUGAACAGAGUUUUGACCUAAGACUACAGAUGCAGAACUAUUGAAUUUCAGAUUCUACAGAGCCAACUCCUCACAUAGUGAGGACUGUACUGUGGACAGUUUUGGUGGCCAUGUAUUAAAAAUGAUGUUGAAAACUUGGAGAAGGUGAAGAAAAGAGCCACAAAAUGAUUUGAGUGUUGGAAAAAUGCCUCACAGUGAGAGACUU